rnacentral:hammerhead_ribozyme from 1 species
GCAUUGCUGAAGAGUCCUACGACAGGACGAAACGGCCGCCCAAUGU